rnacentral:lncRNA from 1 species
GUGAACCCUCACGAACCUGCCUUAACCCAAGGCCUACGAUGAUUCAGACCGAACUGGCAACCCGACCCUGGGUCCCAGCUCGUCCCAAGCCAACCCAGGCCAACCAUUCCACAUUUUAGUUGUUAAGCAAAUUUUAAGAUUUAAAACACUAACUUGGGUACAUUGCUUGGCUUGCCCAUAACCGAGGGCGCGGCUAUUCGAAUAGAUUAUACUCUGAUCAGAGGUGUACAUCUUUACCCACAAGACACAUCUUCCUCACGUGUAACCACGUGCCACAUACCACCAUGGUAUACGGACGGAAGACGUGACAUAGUUUCCAACCCAUCCUAGCCAUAGACAAGAGUACCGACCCAACCCCACCUACGGCCGGAACCUCCGGGACAGGUAGGCAGGAUUGAGCCCCUAGCAGCAGGACACCAGCCCUGUGCCAUGACAUCUCGACUACCGGGCCGCAGCUCGUGUAGCCUUCAUUUGUCCUAGAGAUGUCCAUCGACCCCCGACUUCGUCCAUCUCCAUCCGUGUACUUUUGUUUAUAACCAGACUGAGCCACAAACUAAGCCUUACCCACUAGACAUGUGGAAGUACGGUAGUGCUUUGCAACAGAGGCCCGAGCUUAAUCCUUAUAGUGGCCGGGGUGCUACUUCCCACAACUAGCAUGCACCCAAACCCCACCGAAAAACAGGUUUUAGGGGCUUUGAAAGAGGAAGAGAGGGGUAUGUCCAAUUCCACCAUAAUCCAACAAUUCCAUAAUGUCCAAAUGAUAUGAGAAUUCCCAAAGUCUAAAGUUAUAAAACCACCUAAUGUUGCCUAAUUAAUCAGCGAAGCAUCUACCUAAAUUCAUACUAGUGGAACCAUGAAUAGAGUACCCACUAGUUGGGGUUUUAUUUUCCUAGGGUGAACAAGAUAAUAAUAACAAUAGCAAUAAUAAGGUCAUAACAAAGGUAAAUAGGCAUGGCUAGAUAAAACAGUGAUAACGCGGGAAUUUAAAUAAAGCGAUAAUGCAAUAAUUUAAAUCAAAAUAAUUUUAUAAACUAGGAUUCAAUAUGUUCAAGGAUGAUGUGACUUGCCUUGCUCAGAGAGAACGGCCUUCCGAACCUUCGGCGACGACCACGAACCACGCUUCGGGAACCUCCGGAACGACGAAAGCUACGCGAAGCACACAAGCAAAGCUACAAGCCUAUAAAGAAGCAAUAACAACACAUAAAAAGAAAGCACACAGUUCUUUAGGUUAUAACAAACAUUAGGAGACUUGAACGGGUCGAUUCAGAGUUCGUAUGACCAAAAUAUGAUCAUCCGAAGUUUAAUGCUGUUAUAUGGAGAUUUGCGGAUUAUUAUAAUUAAGCUUUGCAAUUAUAAAACAUGUGUAAGUGCUAGCCUAGAAAAGACAGGAGGGCUGCGCCGUUGACAUACGGACCCCACAUGUCAACCUAAAGGACCGCGGUAGACCGAGUACACAGAGACGGUCCACGGGUCGACGGAAGCAGAUCCCGUGUGUCAACCGAGGCGAGUGGCCGACAAACGGACUCCACUAGACACCACACGGGCUGCACACGUAGAAACCACGCGGCUACCGAGCGGGCACACUAACACGGUCACCACACGCACAAGCGAACGACUACCGACACCGGUACACGGGUACCGGGGUCGACAACCGCACAACGAGCACGGGCGACACCGAAAGGACGAAGACGGGGCAGCGAGGGAGAGGGAUCCUUACCACCACGCGACGAGGCGUGGGAACGACAACGACGACCGGGCGCGGCGGAGGCGGCCGGGAACGACGGAGACGAACGGCGAGGGGACGACUUCGGCGGCGAUCCUUGGACGAAGGCGAGACGCGGCCGGCACGAGGCUUGACGACGCGGAGGCGUGGACGAAGACGAUGACGGGGGCUGCAGCGACCUUGACGAAACACCGAGGACGGACGAGAACGGCUCGACGGAGGGACGAACGCCCCGACGACCGGGAACGACGAGAGGACGACGAUGACGACCGGGGCCGGCGAGGAGACGACGAGGGCAGCCGGCAGUGGCUGCACGGAGGCGAGGAUGCCGUGGAACGCGCCGCUGCGAUGCCGACGACGGAGGCGGCGCCGCGAGACGACGAGCCGGCGAGGAUGAACGGUGAAGACGACGUCGGACACCGGCGGUGUUCGGCCGAAGGGGAAGCGAUGCCGAGGGGUGGACGAGGUGGAGGGCUACGUCACCGUGCCGAGGGAGGGGACGGCAGCACCGACUGACGCACGGGCAUGGCGAAAGGGGCUGCCGGAGGAGAUGCCGACGAGGAGGAAGGAGAGGCCGGCGCGGGCGACGGCGUUCCGGCGAAAUUCGGGCGAGGAGGAGGUGAUGCCGGGGAAGGAGGCGAUGCCGCGGUGUCGAAGGAGGAGACGGCGGCGUCGAUCGGCGCACCGGCGACGAACAGCAGCCGGCUGGAGGGAGUACAGUGGCACCAAUGCCACUGGUUGCCGGCGGGGGCACCGUUCCGGCGAGUUUCCGGCGAGGAGACGGUGAGGCCGGUGAAGGGGACGGUGUUGCAGAGCCGAGGGAGGCGACGGCACGGCCGGACGGCGCGCGGGCGAGGCGGGAGAGGCGGCUGGAGGCGGCCGGCGGCACGGGAGAGAGAAGAGGAUGGCGGGGAGAUGGCUAGGGACCACGGGAGACCGCGGGAGGGGGCUAAAACGAUAAAACGGAGCGAGGGGAUUCUGUUUUAUAGGCGCUGGGAGGGAGCCGGCCACGGGAGGAGCGAGGAACGGCGGCGGAAAACUCGGCCGGCGGCCAUGGGAGGCUGCCGAGGAAGGCGCGGGCAUUCCCGACGAUUGGGGGCGUCAUUCAAGGGGGAAUUAAGGGGGAAAGAGAGUGAGGAGGGAAAGGGGAUUAAUUCCCCCUAAUCAAUUUGGAAAGAGCCGGCUUGAAUCGUGUGGAUUUAAGGGAGGAAUCGACGCUAGGUUUCACGGGAGAGAAGAGAGAGAGAGGAUGCCGGGCGGGAGGAAGGAGACGAUCGGGCGGGUGGGACCCACCGGUCAGGCGGCGUCGUCAGCGCGCGCACGCGCGCGGCACGGGCGGGAGGGCGCCGUUCGGCUUGGGCCGGGCGGCGGCCCAGGUGGGAGGGGGCAGGGAGGCUUGGGCCGAGAGGCGGCCCAGGAGGAGAGGAGGGCGAGGAGGCCCGGGAGAGAGAUGGGAGGGGAGGGAGCUGGGCCGGGAGGGGGAGGGAAGGCCCAAGAGAGAAGGAGAGGGAGAGGAAUAGAGGGAGGAAGAGAGGACUUCGGCCGCGGACCGAGAGAGAGAGAGGGAGGACUUUGGGCCAAAAUUGGCCCAAAAGAAAAGGAGGAUUAUUUUUAGGUCUUCUUUUUAAUAAACUUUGAUAAUUGUUUUUGUUGCUUAAUAAUUAUUUCCGGUGCUCUGAAAAUUCAAGUAAAAUUUGAGGGCUCCUUUUAGACCAAGGAGAAUUUAACAAAAAUUCUCCGGGCCACAUUCGAAUUUUUUUUUCUUGUACGUAUUUUAGUGUUUGCCAAUUUCUUUUCGAAUUUUAAUUAAUUCUAUUAUUCCUUUUAGCGAAUGAUUUUUAAUUCGGGAUGAAUUUAUCAGGACGUGACACGAACCAUGACAAGCCAUCCGAUAGGACCAUAAUGCUUCGGCCAAUCUAGUAUGCCAUUGCCGAGGAUAUUCGGAAAUCUUCCUCUUAAUCAGUUUAAUCGAACACUUGUUAGAUGCCUCGGCUUGCCCAUUAGCUUGUGCAUAAUAAGGCGAAAAAUUCAACAAUUUAAUACCCCUAUCGGCAAACUGAACAAACUCAUCAGACACAAAAAUCGAGCCUUGAUCAGUUGUAAUGGUCUAAGGAAUACCAAAUCGAUAAAUAAUAUGCUCUUUCUUUGAAGGAAUCGCCUCUACCCACUUGGUAAAGUAAUCGGUUGCCACCAAUAUAAACUUGUGUCCUUUGCUCGAUGGUGGAUUAAUCAUACCGAUCAUAUCAAUUCCCCAACCUCUAAAUGGCGAUGGCUUGAUGAUAGGAUUCAUAGCCGAUGCUGGCGCUCUUUGAAUUGAUCCAAACUUUUGAUAAUCUUGACAUCCUUUAUAAUAUUUGAAACAAUCUUCUAACAUGAUAUGGGGUUGAGUUGGUUAGUGCCUUGAAGAUAAGAAUGAUUUGUUCAAGAGAUCAUGAGUUCAAGGAUUGGCAAAAACAAGGGAAAAUAUUUUAUUCUCCUUUUCACAUUGGUUUUAUAUGGUUGUGGUACAAUUUAAUGUCUCUAGAAAAUGCCUCUACCACCUUAUAAACAUUUUAUAAAAUGCCUCUUCGUUUGUAGAGACAAUUCACCAUAAGGCACUAAUUAGACAUUUUUUAAAAUGCCUCUACAGUAUUGUAAAGGCAUUAGAAAAGUGUCUCUAUAGUACUAGAAAAAUGUCUCUACAAAGCAUUUUUCUUGUAGUGCUUGUCUCUGCAUCCAAAAGCCGACAGCUCAGGUAAAACACAACUCUCUCUUUUCCUUCAAGUGCCUGAAUCAAAACCGAGCCGAUUGACUUCUCACCAGCCGACAAAUAUAAUCUAAAAGGUAUCCCUUUUUGCGGAGGGAUCAAAACUGGAGGAGAACUAAGAUAUUCUUUAAUACUAUCCAAAGCCUUCUGCUGCUCUGCCCUCCAAGUAAAUUUUUGAUCGGCUUUCAAUCUCAACAAUGGUGUAAAAGGUUCUAAUCUACCAGACAAAUUAGAGAUAAACCUUCUAACAAAAUUUAUUUUGCCGAUCAUCUCCUGCAAUUCUAUCUUGUUCUCCGGAGGUUGAAUCUUCUUGAUCGCAUUAACACUCCUCUGAGUUAUCUCAAAUCCCCUUUCAUGAACAAGAAAUCCUAAAAACUAACCAGCCGAUACACCAAAAGCACACUUUGUUGGAUUCAUCUUUAGGCCAUACUUCCUAGUUCACUCAAAAACCUUCCUCAAAUCGGCUAUGUGGUCUUCUAUUUCCUUUGACUUAACAACCACAUCAUCAAUAUAAACUUCAACCAAGCAGCCGAUUAGAACAUGGUAUAUAUAGUUCAUAGCCCGUUGAUAUGUAGCUCCAGCACUUUUCAAGCCAAAAGUCAUCACGACCCACUCAAACAAGCCGAUUGCACCAGGACAUCUAAAAGUUGUCUUAUGAAUGUCCUCCUCUUCCAUAAAGAUCUGAUUGUAACCAUCGUUACCAUCCAUAAAACUCAAUAUCUUAUGUCCUGAGGCAGCAUCGACCAACUGAUCGGCAACCGGCAUUGGGUGCUCAUCCUUUGGAGUAGCCUUGUUUAGGUCUUGGAAAUCAAUACACACCCUGACUUUGCCAUUUUUCUUAAUAACUGGAACUAUGUUGGAAACCAACUCAGCAUAUCGGCAUGGACGAAUAAAACUAGCAUCAUAUAAACAUUUAACCUUAGCCUUGACAGGUUUGAGCAUAUCGGCUUUCGCAUCUCCUCGGCGGCUGAUGGUAUGGUCUAACCCCCGGCUUGAUAGGGAGCCGAUGUUCAACAAUCGAUCGACUGAGUCCUGGCAUCUCGUAAUGUUCCCAAGCAAAGCAAUCUCUGUAUUCUUUCAAGAGCUCUAUCAACUUGAUUCUGAAUUCCAGAGAUAAAUUCCUACUAAUAAAUGUUGGCCUUGGCCUAUCACAUGGACCUAUAUCAACUUCUUCCAAAUCAUCAGCCAACAUGAAACCCUGUCCUUGCUUGUCAUCGAGAUCGUCUACUGUGUCCUUUGUGUAGACGUUUGAACCCUCCACGAUGCCCUCAAAGUAAUAAUUUGGGUUCUCCGUCUUCAAUUGGUUGUAUAUCACAAUCGGACACUUUUAGAAUAUCUCUAUCCCAAACUUUUCCUGACAAGCAAUCAAUACCGUCCAUCUCCCAAAGAGCUAAAUCGACACUGGCAACGUUAACUGACCUGUCGGCUGGCACAAUUUCAAUCUUGUCGCCUUGCCAUUGAAUCAAGCAUUGAUGCAUGGUCGAAGGAAUACAACAAUUGGCAUGAAUCCAAUCCCUUCCAAGCAACAAACUAUAGGAACCCUUCCCAUCGAUGACAAAAAAUGUUGUAGGGACGGUCUUGCCGCUGACUGUCAGCUCCACAUUCAAAACUCCUUUUUUUCCCGAUGGAUUGCCACCAAAAUCUUUGAGAACCAUGUUUGUCUUGAUGAGAUCUUCAGUAUUUCUGCCCAGCUUCCUGAAUGUAACAUAUGGCAUCAAAUUCACCGCAGCCCCACCAUCAACCAUCAUCUUGGUCAUCAGCUUCCCAUUGACAUAGCUGUUUAUAUACAAUAGGUUAAGGAGCCAAUUCUCUGUCCCUUCUGGCUUCUCAAAGAUUGCUUGCUCUGGUGACAAAACCAACCUAGCCGAAGCUUCCUCAACUUCAUCAACAUCGGCUUGUUUAGCUCCAAAAUCCGCAGGUAACGUGAAAACCAUGUUAACCGACGCAGUCACGACACUCUUCCCUUUAGCCAAUCUUUUUGCUUCAUCGGCUUUGACUUCAUCGGCUAUAGCAGCUUGGUUCUUAACACGCCACUCUUGCCUCGGCCGAUGAUUAAUCUCCUGCUCCACCUCAUCAAAACGUUCUCUGUUCCAUAACCUUUGAACCCUUCUCUUCUGAUUUUUCGUGAAAAUACCAGAAGGACACCAUUGAGUCUUUCUAUCCUCAUCAUCUCUUUGAUCACACUCUUGGUUUACUUGGCCCAAUCUUUGAUGAACAGGAACUCUUGUUUGCCUCAGCUGAUUACUUCUGUUGUAAGAUCUGCUUGAACUUUCUGCAACAUUACUGCAUCCAGGACGAUCUUCGAUACAUGGCAGCCUCAUUCCUUCAUUCCAGCAAAAUCUGAAAAACUCACAUUCCCAAUGAGGAUCAAAACCACCAUCAUCUUCUUCAUAAUACCUUUCCUGCUGUUGCUUGUCAUAUUUUCUUCGGUACUUGCUGAUAAUUCUAGCCGAAUUCAUCUGAAAAUUCCUAUUCUUCCCUCCAUCGUCUGCCCUUCCAGACGUAUGCACCAUAUUGACAGGGAAAGGGUUACCAUCGACCUUCAUCGGCUUCUUGGAGUCGUCAAACUUUAUUUCUCCUCCUUCAAUAGCCGCCUGAAUCCGCUGUCUAAAAACUUUGCAAUCAUUAGUACAAUGAGAACCAGAAUUAUGCCACUUGCAAUACCUCCUCUUUCCUAGCUCUUCAGCCGAUGGUAUGAUAUGACCAGCAGGAAGUUGAAUCUGCUUCUCCCGAAGUAACAAAUCGAAAAUCUUGUCAGCUUUGGUGAUAUCAAAAUCAAAUCUUUCUUCUUUUCCAGAACUCCUCACCCAUGGGCAUGGCACAACCUUUUUGCUCCUAACCCACUCGGCUGCUACUACCUCGGAAUCAUCUUCAUCAUCAGAAUCAUAUAUAUAAGGAUACACAUGAUUGAUCUUCUUGAAGCUCUUCUUAGCCUCUGCAAACCUCUGUUCAUGCAGAGUUACCUUCUGUGCAAGAUGCGAUAAACUAUCAAACUCCUGGGUGAGAAUUUCUCCUUGAUUGGAGCUAUUAGACCUGAAAAACCAAAUCGGCUAACUGGGAAUCAGUCAAACUCAAACUGUAGCACCUAUUCCUCAUCUCUCUGAAUCUCUGAAUAUAAUCCUGCACAGAUUCAUCAUGCCUUUGUCUAAUUGCUGUUAAAUCAUACAAUUUCAUCUCGUGGACUCCACUAUAGAAAUAGCUAUGAAAUUGUUUCUCCAAAUUGGCCCAACUGUUGAUUGAAUUGUAUGGUAAAGAAGAAAACCAAGUAAAUGCCGAUCCGGAUAAAGACAAAGGAAACAACCUGACCCUCAAGGCGUCAACAGCCGAUGCCUCACCACAUUGAGCUAAGAAUCGGCUGACAUGUUCAUAGGUCGAGACAUUGUCUUGUCCUGAGAAUUUUGAAAAAUCUGGAACUUUGUAUCGGUUAGGCAAUUGAACCCUCUCGAACUACUCAGGAUAUGGAUGCCGAUAUAAGUUUCCAGUAUCCUUUGGCUUAAGCCCAAAUUGCUCUAUCAUCACAUCUGCAAUCAUAUCAGCCCAUGGUCUCUGCUGAGGUACCCCUUGCGCUUGUUGUGGUAUAGGCUCGAAUUUAUUGAACUGAGGAGCAAACUGAGGCUGAGGUGAUCCCUUUGCUGAUACUGAACAUGAGGCGAUGGAGGCUGAUAUUGGUAAUUCAAAUUCCCCCCUUGAUAAUUCUGAAAGUUCGGUUGUAUGUUGCGCACCAAAUGUUCGGGAAUAACUUGAGGUAUCACCGAUUCAUUCUCCCCUUCGCUUGCUUGUGACACUUUCGACAUCAAUAUAAGGUAUAUUAGUUAAUUAAAUGGAUAUACACAUGCAUUUAUAAAAAUUAAGUAGCUGUAUGUCGUCCAAAAUUAUAGGUGCUAUAAUCAAAUUACCUAGUAGUUGUGCACUUAUAGACACCAAAUGGCGAUCAAAUUGGUGUCGGGUCUCUGCCGAUGGUCGAGGGCAUGCAUAUCCAUAAAACUAACUUGUAGCAGACAUGGCCCACUCAUGAAAACCUCUACCAACACGGCAACUAUCACAGAUGAAAGACCUUUUAUUAUACUUGCUUUUAUGUACCAUUCAUGCCACCUUUUUAAUUGGCAAGGUCCUUCUGCUAAUUCCCAGGUGGGGAGGAAUGCUUUGCCAUUCUCAAAUUGUUCAGGCACAUCAACAGUGGGCAUAAAAUUCAAAGUUUUAUUCAAGCUUAUUUUUGGGCCUUUUGCUUUCUUUUUGUCAUAAUCAGUCAUUGCUUUCCCCUGUUAUUACUAAUCCUUCGUGGGAAUGCCUUUAUCAUAAACUCUUUCUUGGACGCACUUUCUUCAUUGUGCUUGUGUGCUCUUAUCAUUACUGGCACUCCGUCACCCUUAGCUUCUUCCUGUGAUAUUACUUGUUCCGAUUGUACCAUGCUAGGCGCCACAGGCUCUUGUAUGACCUCUGCAUCCCUUUCAAGCUCUGUUGUUCAGGCAUUGGUUAUUCAGGCUCUAGUUGUGUUAACAGUGAAAUUUGGUAAGCCCGUAAGAGAAUUAUCACGUCGCCAACAGUCGGAUUUCUGCUGUAUUCGGUCGAGGAAAUUAAUCUGUUAAAGGAAGCUUAUGCAGGAGUGACCGAGUUCAAGGAGGAUGCGACAUGACAGUUUAUCCAUUAAUUAGGCAGUAUUUGUUAGUUUCCUUUUAUCUUUAGAAAAGUGUGUUUAGUGUCAUAUAAGGACUUUAUGUUUUCCUUUUAUCUUUUAGGAAAGUUUCUUUCUUGUCCUACAAGGACUAGUAUCUCCCCAUGGAUAUAAACAUGUACACCCGGGGUCCAUGUAAAAUAUCUCACGAUCAAUACAAUUUGGCGUAUUGCCACACCUUUCUACUUUUCUACUUUAUUUACCAUCAGGUGGAACUUGGCACCCGACGCGGGGCUGCAUCGGUUUUCGAUCUCUGGCGAAGGGGUAAGUUCAAUGUUUCGCUGGCCCAGGCAAUUGUCUCGUCUACAUCGGCGUCGUUCAAGGCUGCAUCAAUUUAGCUUUAUCGGUUGUUAAUUACAUCAAGUAUCAGAAUCUACAUCAGAAUUAUAGCCGAUAGCUCAAAACCCUAUCUAUCGGCUCGUAUCGACAUCGACUGAAAUUAAUCUAUCAGCUGUUUUAUCUGCUGUUUGUAUAUCUUGUGAGUUGCAGGGUCAAACUGACUGGCACACCCGUAUCUCAUCAACCUUUGGACCUGCACUGGAGCUAAGCAGAUCUCUCAGUCCAGUGUGUGUUUUCCGCGUCAACACAUUUAUGGCACGCCAGUUGGGACACGAGUUUUUGCAUGGAGUAUUGUUGAUGGUCAUUAACGAUCAGUUUCGACCAUCAAUAUUACCAAAAUAGAGGAGAACUAGUGAUGCUUGCAAUGAAUAUACAUGUUAGAAUAAUAAUAUUCCACUAGUAUUAGGUAUACUAACCUUUUGCAGAGAAUAACCAUAAAGUGGAGGAGAAUCGACAUCAACACAGAUGAUAAAUAAAUCGGACGAUGUCGAGAAUCAGACUUAUGCAUGAAUGGGCCAAGAACUCAGAAUUGACAUGAUGAAUUGGGCCAAAAUUCACAAGUCUACGAAGUGAAGCAACGGAGGAGGCCACCAGCCAAAACUUGGGCUGGUUGGCCCGGCCCCUGGUUCGGGGUUCGGCCGAACCUCCCUCGCCGCCAUUAGCUGCAGGGCUUCUUCUGGACGGUUGGGAUUGAUCCCCAAUGACGGUUGGAGGGUAUUACCGACCAUUCCAACUGUCACAACCAUCAUUACCUGCCUAUAAAAGGAGUUCCUCACUUCACUUCACAAACACACCUCAAUCAAGAGCUCUCUUAUAUUAUCUCAAGUUAGUUUAGUGUUAUCUAGCUAGUGGAAUAAUAGGAAUAGAGUAGAAAUCGGGAGUCUGGAAGCCUUCGGAAGAGUUUGGGUAUGGCUCUAGUAGCUUUCCUUUCCUCUUUUGUUAGCUUUGUACUUUUAUUAGAAUACUCUUCUUUAUACAUUUAUGGUAUUGAAAUACUUUCCGAGUAUAUGAAUGCCUACUUUACAUUAUGUUCAUGUUAUACUGAAUAUGCUACUAGCUUAUCUGGGAGACGCUUUGGUGGGGGUAUAAUGUUUGCUUAUGCAAUUACUCUAUGUCAUGACGAUAAUAUUAGAGUAGUAUCUGGUAGUUUAGACGUGGUGUCUAAUUAUGGGAUAUCGUUAUUUGGGGUUAUAUGCUGCGGAUGAGAGGUGGGCCACUAAUGGUGACAGCUCAGUACGGGUAUUUGUUGACGGUCGUUAUCGAUCAGUCUCGACCAUCAAUAUUACCAAAAUAGAGCAGAACUAGCGAUGCUUGCAAUGCAUAUAUGUAACAUACUGAAAAUUUGCUAUUUUCUAAUUAUGCAUCAUGCCGAUUCUUAUGUUCUUAAUAACUUCCUAAACCUAAGAAAUUAUAAUUAGAGGGACCUCCUAAAACUAACAUGUAUAAAAUCCCUUUUUGGUAUUUAAAAUCUUUCGUGGUUUUUAUUCUAAAAAUUGAUCUUGUUAGAUCGAGGUAUUCUCUUUGAUUUGAUUUUGCAUCUUAAACCUUCUUUCGACCAAAAUUUCUUUUAUUCAAAUUUAGUUUGAAAACCCUUUCUAUUUUUAAGAAUUAUGGUCCAAGAAAUUCUUCCAAACCUAAACCAAAGCAAUUCCAAUUUCAUUGGAAUUAAUUGUCGACCCAUCCUUUGAUUUCAAACCUAUUCUUAUUUAUCGCCAAAUAUCCAAGUUUCCCAUUAGCCUCAAAUACUUCUCCAAAUUCUUGCCAAAUAAUUUGAGGCUAACAUCCUAUUUAUUUCCCUUCCCUCUCAAUCGAGUGCAUCAAAUAAAUUCCGUUAUAUUCUAUCUCUCAAAAGAUUGCACUCAAAUAAAUUAGAACAUCCUUAUUUUAAAAUCCCUCUCCGAAUUCAAAUCCUUUUUAAAAUCUAGCCAUCCAAAUUCCUCUAAAUCAAUUAUUUGAAUCUCUAGGAAAAUUAGACUUUCUUUGUUUCUAGACUGGGCCGAAACCCUUUGUCACGUCCCAAAACGACUCUAAAAUACAUCCUCGAAAUUAUGCAAAGAAUAAUUAAAAUCCAUGUGAAAGCCUCCAACAAUUAAAAUGUGCAAAUUUAAAAGUCAAAUAAGGCUUGGAGGAUUUUUGUAUAUUUCCUAAAAGCCUAAAAUGCGUAAAUAAAUUUUAGUGGAAUUUUCAGAGCACAAAUAAUAAUUAAGAAGAAAUAAACAAAGUUAAAGUGGUUUUAUAAAAAGAAAAAAACCCUAAAAGUCCUUUCCCCCCCCCCUUCCCCUCUUGGGCCGGCUCGGCCCAGCCCUCUCCCUCUCUCUCCUCUCCCCCGCGGCCCAUCGGCCUCCUCCCCGCGCGCGCGCCGCUGACGGGCGGGCCCGCCCGCCACCCUCGCUGACGGGUGGGGCCCACCCGUCAUCCCCUACCUCACGCCGCACCCGCCGCCUCGCCCGUGCCCUAGCGCCGCCGCCGCCGCGGAUUCCGCCGCAUCCCGCCGUCCCCGCGCGCAAUAAAGAGGGGGAAAUCACUCCCCGUGAUUCCCUCCCUCUUUCCGCCCACUUUUCUCUCUCUCUCUCCCUCGGAUUCGUUUGGAAACCCUCCCGCAAACCUCGCCGGCGCCAUUGAUGGAGCCCGAGAUCGCCGCACCGGUUUCCUUCCCCUCCGGCCGCCCUCUCUCACUCCCAACCCUAUUUAAACGUUCCCCGUGCCUCCCUCCACCGUUUCCGCCACUCGCCGCUCUCUCUCCCCGUCGGAAUCGAGCUCGCGCCGUCGUUCCCUCUCUCCGCCAUCGCCGCCGAGCUCCGGUCCGCCGCCGUCGUCGCCUCGGACCUCCUCCCGCUUCGGCGUCGCCUCCUUCGGCUUCGCCGCGUCCUCGUCGACCUCGUCCACUCCUCCGUUUCGCCCGCCGACCGCCGGAACGCCGCCGUCCUCGUCGACCCGAGCCGCGCCGCCGCCUCUCUCCGCUUCGGUCGCCGUUCCCGUCGUCGCCGUCGACCCGGGGUGAGCCAUGGACCGCCCAUUUCGUUUCCCCCUUCCGUCCGCUCUCUCGGGCGCCGCUCCGCCGCGCCGGUGGCCGCCGCCGGCGACCAUCGGGGUGCGGGCGCGCCGCCUCCCCGUCGGCCGUGCCGGCGAGGCCGCCUUCGGGCGCGCCCCGCGGCUGCCAUGUGGGGCCCGGCCGUCAGCCGCCCGCGCCCUCGGGUGCGGCUGACGCGUGGGACCCACGGCGCCGGCCGGCGUAAGCCGCGUGCACCCGGUCCACCGUGGACCGUGAGGCUGCCGCGUGGGCCCCACUCCCGUGGACCCGGUCCACGCGUCCCUCCCCUCGGCUGACGCAAUAAACCCGAUUUUAAAUUAAAAAUUUAAAUGAAGAAAUUCGUAAAUAUCCAUUUAAAGAGCAUAUAAACUUCAAAUGGCCAUAACUUGGCCAUUUGAACUCGGAAUUGGACCGUUCAAGUCUCUAAUUUUUCCUUAAGAAGUCAAGAACCCAUUUUUGUGCUUUGUUUCUGCUUGUUAUAUGGAGUUUAGUAGAGUAAAACCUAUUCGAAUAGCCGCGCCCUCGGUUAUGGGCAAGCCGAGCAAUGUACCCAAGUUAGUGUUUUAAUUCGUAAAACCUGCUUAACAACUGAAAUGUGGAAUGGUUGGCCUGGGUUGGCUUGGGACGAGCUGGGACCCAGGGUCGGGUUGCCAGUUCGGUCUGAAUCAUCGUAGGCCUUGGGUUAAGGCAGGUUCGUGUGGGUUCACGGCCUUGAUAAAUAAUAUUGUUUAGUUUUAGAAUCGCGUUUACAAAAUGGCUUUGAGCAACUAAAUGUCUUUAAAUGCUGUUUACUGCAACCUUAACCCUUUAUAGUGUAACUCCUUUGUACUCCCUUGCAUUUAUUCUGCACUUGUGGGUGUGUCUUGUUGAGUACGGUGGUUGUACUCAGUCUUGCUCAAUUUUUCCCAAACCCAGAAGAGGAGUUCCUGGAGGAUGAAGGCUUUGGUGUCUAGCUCGUACCUGCCGUCAAGUGCCUGUGGUCGUCGCCCUAGUCUUCCGCUGUUUCUCGUUUGUCUCUGUGUGUGCUGGGCCUUCGCUGCCCAUGUAAUAAAUUAACUAUUUACGCUUCCGCUUGUUAAACUCUGAAUUGUAUCAACUUUUGGUGUACCUUGCCUCCUGGGACAAGGAUUAAUGCACGCACGUAAGGAACGCCCGUUGGGUUAUUUCCGGUCGUGACACCCUUUCCCUCCUCCAGCCCAAGCCGGCCCAGCCACCACAGCCGAGCCGCCCUUCCUCCUUCUGUAGACGCGCACACGCACACGCCGUCGCCGCUUCCUUGCCGUCGCCGCCAAGUCGCGCCGCCACCGUCACCGUGCCUUACCCUCCAACUCCGCCGUUUUUCCUUCGCCGCUAAGCAACUGCCGCCGACGUCAGCCGCCACAUCACGCCGCUGACAUCAGCCGCCGAGCCGAACCGCCUUCGAUGGCCAAUUAGCAGAUAGAGUCGACGCCGUGCUCCUGUUUCUGUGCCGCCGCCGCCGUGAUUUGCUCGCCCUCCUCCUCUGCAAACCGCCAUGAACCACCGCCCCUCGUCGCCUAUAAAUAGCCGGCGAGCUCAUCCCAUCUCUUCCGCAUCCGAGCUCGAGGUCCCCUCUUUCUCUCUCCACCAUGGCCGGCUAAUACCAAGUCCCCGGUCGAUCUCUUCCAUUGGAGCCCCAUCGGCCGAAUCCUUGCGCCAUGAGCUUCGCCUCGACGAGGUGAUUCCAUUUCUCCCCUUUCCCCUCUCCUUUAGCCACCGCCACAACUCAUCACCACCACCACACAAACCGGCCGGGACCAAGGUUUUGUCCACGCCGUUCUGGCCAUCUCCCUCUUUCCCUCGGCUAGCUACCACCUUCCCCGGGUGCGCGUCGCUCGGGAACACGCUUGGCCACCGCCGUCGAGACCGUUCCAUCACUGGAGCACCGGCGCCCCUUCUCUCUCUCUCUCUCUCUCUGCUGUUCACGGGAAGAAGAGAAGGAAGAAGCAGACGAGAGGAAGAAGAAGGAGAAAAGAAAAAGAAAAAGAUAAAGAGGUACUGACAGUAGAGUUUAUUAUAUUUUGGAGGCAACCUGUGGUGUUUCGAGGAUCAGAUAAUCAGGUUGCCUAUCUCAGAGUUAUUUGCGUUGGAGCAAGGCAAGUUAUUAUUCCUCCCCUUGAACAUAAUUACCCUAUAUUCUAUAUCUCUAUUCUAUGCAUUAGUCAUUCAUGAUUUUGAAUGCAUAACCUGAACAUAUAGCAAACCAGAUAUAUGCUAGAUUUGCUUAGCCCUGCCUAGUUAGUCUGCAUAAAAAUAUAAUGAACUUAGAUUGGGACAGUACGUAGGAAUUGGUUGAUUUCCGGGUGGCUAGUACUGUCUCAGUCGAUAUAGUUAUUACCAAGUACUUAUGUCAAACGAACGAGUACGACCGCAAUUCUAGAAUGGGGACAGACCUUGCAAAGUAGGUUGUCUAGCAAAGGUGGUACCUCUGUACAGUGGUUCUUAUUUAAGUCCUCGAGCAGGAGGCAAACAUAUGCCGCGAAGGGCAAAUAUAACAUUUACCGAGGCGCAGGUAAAUGAUUUGUUGAGCUCAAGUGUGUGUGUAUUGUGAAAACCUGGUUGAGAUGACGGGGGUCUCUCAACCAGUUCUCUCUCUAAAAACCUCGGGAACGCCAGAACUCCUCUCACUGCUGAUAACGUUACGUUCAGAGCGCAUGAGGAUGAGAGUUCAUGGAACAGGUGCCACUGAUGUUAGUAACCGAAAAGCUUUGCCAUGACUAAGCUAAUGAAUAUUGGCAUGUCAUGGAUUGCGGGUAAAGCGUACAUUUACUGCAGUAAAGUAAACCUGAAUCUAUUCGAAUAGCCGUGCUCACGGAAUUGAGUAUCGGGACUCAUAUGGUACUUUGGUUAGAAACCUAAUUCAAGAUUUUACUAAAUGCUGCUGCAUUUAAAACAUCAGGCUUUCUAUUUCUAUACUCUCUGCCUUCUGCAAGUAAUCGUAAUCCUACUCAAAUAUUACCUUUUUAUACAUUCAUUAUUGAAUAUAAUAGCUUGCUGAGUACGUUGUACUCACCCUUGCUUCAACCUCCUUUUUCCAGAGUUAAAUUGAAGUUCUUGCCAAAGCCAGGAGUUCAAUCAUAUAAGUUAGUCUUAUUUCAACCUAGUUCACAAAUCUAGAUUAGUUAGAUGGUUUAAGUCUAUAGCAAAAUAUUAGAGUUGAGACACUCUAUAGCUUCUGCUGUAAUAGUUAGCCACAAUCUUGUAAAUUCCCCUAUUAAUUUAUGUAAUAACAUCUCCUUUGGAGCCUUGUUCAAAUGUACGCAAUGAAAAUCCAGAUUGUUGAAGCUGUAUCAAUCUACUGAUCCAGGGCUUGAUACAGUUAAACAUGUCGGUUUCCGAAUCAUUAGUUUUGGGAUCCGACAAUAUAUUUGUUACAAUAAUAAUAUUCCACUAGUAUUAGGUAUACUAACCUUUUGCAGCGAAUGACAAUAAAGUGGAGGAGAAUCGACAUCAACUCGGACGAUAAAUCAAUUGGACGGUGUCGAGAACCAGACUUAUGUAUGAAUGGGCCAAGAACUCAGAAAUAACACGACACAUUGGGCCAAAAUUCACAAGUCUAUGAAGGAGGACAACAAAGGAGGCCGCCAGUCGAAGAUGGGUUGGGUUGGGCCAGCCCAUGGUUCGGCCGAACCUCCCAUGGCGCCGAUGGAUGCACGGUUUGGAUGGACGGUUGGAUUUGAUCCCCAAUGACGGUUGGAGGGUAUUACCGACCAUUCCAACCAUCACAACCGUCAUUACCUGCCUAUAAAAGGAGCUCAUCUUCUCACUUCACUCACACACCUCGAGCAAUAGCUAUCUCAUUUCUCUCAAGUUUAGUUUUAGCUGGUGGAAUAGGAAUAGAGUAGAAAUCAGGAGUCCGGAAGCCUUCAGAAGAGUUCGGGUAUGGCUCUAGUAACUUUUCUCUUCUCUUUUGUAAGCUUUGUACUUUUACUAGAAUACUCAUCUAAAUACAUUUAUGGUAUUGAAGUACUUUCCGAGUAUAUGAGUACCUACUUUACAUUAUGUUCAUGUUAUACUGAAUAUACGGCUAGCUUAUCUGGGAGAUGCUUUGGUGCUGGUAUAGUGUUUGCUUAUGCAAUUACUCUAUGUCAUGACGAUGAUAUUAGAGUAGUAUCUAGUAGUUUAGACGUGGUGUCUAGAUUACGGGAUAUCAUUAUUUGGGGUUCUAUAUUACGGAUGAGAGGUGGGCCGCUGAUGGUGACAGCUCAGUACGGGUAUUCCUCCGUGUCAGUACAUAAUCCUAAGUUAAUUCCCUGGGGAGGGUAUUCCUCCGUAUUUAGCCCUGGUUGUAUGGUCAUGACGGGCUGUCGUAAGGAACUCGGCAGUCAGGGGUGGCUUCUCGAAGUACAAGGAGGGCAUCGGAUAUAGGGUAUUAGCUAGUAUAUCGGUUAACUAGAAUGUAUGUAUACUAUGUAUAUCAGAAGUAUUGGAAUAGAUUUUCUUUCUCUUUUCUUUCCACUUAGCUUAAAUGAUAUAUUAUGAGAAUGAGUAGUUAAUGCUUGUGUAUCACUCUACCCAUGGAUUAUCUUAACCCCAGCUUACAAUAUGAUUAUCACAAGUAAUAUAUAAAUUAUUAGUCAAGUUCUCUGUACAUGGUCUUCCCACGGGAUAAAACAAAUACAAUACCCUUGGAAUACUCUCGGGUAAAAUGCUACAAUGGUAUACCCGUGCGCUAGCGGAUGAAUUCUGUAACCAUAAUAUACCAGAAGUAUUUCUGUGCUAUUGCUGGGAAUUAUUUUAUAUUUGCCUCUGUAUAAUCAUUUUCCUUUGCAGGCUAACCUUGGUUGUUUUCACUUAUGUUGUGAAAACAGGGUAGUGCAUGACUGGUUUCAACUUGCCGAAAAACUUCAAAUAAAAUCCAGAAGCUUUCUUCCAGAGCGUCAGGCCGCGAGUCGCUGCUUCGUAGAAAACUCGAUGGACAAAGAAACCAGCCGUACCAGCGCCACCGACCUUCAAGACUAUGCCUAACAAGACUCUCUGCGAGUUCGCUGCUCCCUCUACUGACAAUGUGGCCAUUGGGCCGCAGGUCAACAUAGGAGAUGUGGAUUUCGACUUGAAGUCCAGCCUCAUCACGAUGGCGCAAGCUAGCCCGUUCUGUGGCAAGCCUAAUGAGGAUGCCAAUGCUCAUCUGCAACAGUUCCUGGAGAUCUGUAGCACGUACACCAUCAAGGGCGUCAGUCCCGACGCCGUCAGGCUGCGACUGUUUCCGUUCUCCCUUCUCGGGAGAGCGAAGCAGUGGUUCUAUGCCAACCGUGUAGCUAUCAAUACCUGGGACAAAUGCUCUACGACAUUCCUCUCGAAAUUCUUCCCGAUGGGCAAAACCAAAGCCCUUCGUGGAAGGAUUUCAAGUUUCCAGCAGACAAGGGAUGAGUCUAUUCCGGAAGCAUGGGAACGACUACAUGAGUACGUAGCCGCCUGUCCUCAUCAUGGGAUGGACGACUGGCUGAUCCCGCAGAACUUUUAUAAUGGACUCACCCCGAUGUCCCGUGAUCACAUGGACGCGGCAGCUGGAGGAGCGUUCUUCUCUAAAACGGUUCAAGGAGCCAUUGAUCUAAUAGAGAAGAUGGUCUCCAAUAUGGGUUGGAGCGAGGAACGACUACAGACCCAUUAGCAAGCCAUGCACACCGUCAAGGAGACAGAGUUACUUGCUGCCAAACUGGACCUCCUCAUGAAGCAAUUGGACGACCACGAGAAACGGCCGCAAGGCACCGUCAAGGCCUUGGACUCUCACGCCACAUGUGAGGUCUGCGGCAACACGGGUCAUUUUGGGAAUGACUGCCCAGAAAGCCGUGAGGAGGCGAUGUACAUGGGCAACAACAACAACAGGUAUCGUCCACAAGGAGGUCAGGGGUGGAACAAACCAUGCCCAUAUUAUCAAGGAGGUAACAACAACGGUAAUAACCAGUCCUCCUUGAAGGAUCUCGUUUUUGCGCAAGCUAAGACCACCUAUGCGCUAAGCAAAAAGCUUGCGGCUAAUGACAAGGUCCUAGAAAACAUAUGUCAAGUUAGAUGGCUUUGCUUCUGCUUUUCAAAAUCAGUUGCGCUUUAAUAAAAUGAUAGAAACCUAGCUAGCUCAGUUGGCAUCCUUAGUCCCUGCAAAUCAAACUGGGAGGAUCCCGGGGCAACCUGACUCCUCCAUUGAAAAUAAGGGCCAUCACGACGAGGGGAGGUAAGUCCACUCGUGAUCCGCCAUAUCCUAACCCUGUAGGAACUAAUGGGAUAUCAAAAUAAGUGCCAUCUAAUGACUCGGCUGGCAAGGAAGUUCCGCCAGAAAAGACAGUGCCGCAAGAGUACUGCGACACACGGUUGCUAUCGUUCCCUCAACGGAGUAGGAAACCGUCAGUGGACGAGCAAUUCGCUCGUUUUGUUGAAGUAAUCUAGAAGAUCCACAUCAACGUGCCGUUGUUGGACACUAUGCAAGUGCCAACAUACGCCUGUUAUCUCAAGGACAUACUCAACAACAAGAGACCACUCCCAACAACGGAGGUGGUCAAGCUGACGGAACAAUGCAGCAACGUGAUACUCCAUAAGCUCCCGGAGAAGAAGAAAGAUCCGGGGUGUCCUACGAUCACCUGCUCGAUCGGGGCACAACAGUUCGACCAGGCCUUGUGCGACCUUGGUGCCAGUGUCAGCGUCAUGCCAAAAGACGUCUUCGACAAGCUCUACUUCACGGUGUUGGCACCAACACCAAUGCGCCUUCAACUGGCUGAUUCGUCAGUCCGUUACCUGGCAGGGAUAGCGGAGGAUGUGCCAGUCAAGAUACGAGAUUUCUUCAUCCCGGGGAGCCAGUUUCUUAGCACUGCAGGAGACAACAUUGACGUGGGAACGGGGAGUAUCCAUUUCCACAUCAACGGCAAGGAAGAGAAGUUUGAGUUUCAACUGAGCACGGAAUAAUGCUCCAUGGUUAGAAUAAAGUACGGGCCGAACCCAUAGAAUAUUCAAGAGGUCGAAGUGGAGCCACCUAAAACAGACAGCCUGGUGAAAUUCAUUCAGAAUUUCCUAGAAAAGAAAACAACAAUGCCUACGAACCGUUAUUGGAAGACGCCGGUAGAACCACCCAUACCGGCCAGGAAGCUAGAAGCAGUUGGCUCAAAAGAAGCCGCUGUCCGCACCAAAACCAAAGAAGGUGUGGAGGGAGAAGCCAAAGACGCCCGCUCCGUCACCUCCAGAGACGGGUAGAAAAUCCGCAAACUGAACUGGAUGGAGGUAUAGUCUUGCACGUCGGACUUUAAAUGACGCGACCUUCGCCAACAGGUUGAUUGGUAUGUAUCCGCAUAUUUACUUUCAACAAUUUAAAUUUUUGCAUCAUCACAUGUUUGAAUUUCAAAGUUGCAUUUAGGAUUUUUGAAUUUUUAGGAAAUUCUUCAAAUGAACUUUUCAGAGCAAACCAAAAUAAAAUUUUCAGUGAAAAUUUAUUGUGCCACAACCACACUGACCGUUGGAACCCAACGGCCGAAAGUGGGGUUGGUUGGGCCCACUGUGGGUUCGGCCGAACCAGCGAGGCCAACGGUCGGCUGCCUCCUUCUUUGAGGCAACGGCUAGUGGGCCCCACAGGUCGGUUUUGACCGUGUGGGUGCACUACUUAAGCCAACCGGCCGAGAGAGGGAAUUCCACCCCAUUUCAACACAUUUUCAUUCCCUCUCCAAAGUUUGCUCUCAAGUUCAUUCAAGCUUUGAUAGUUUCCCUCAAAUUCAAACACUAGUUGCAUAUAUACAAGUUGCUUUCGUGAAACUAACUGGCGGGUGAGAUUCUUGUCAUUACUAACCUCUGCCGAGUUAGUCCGUUCCUGCUCCAUUGUGCAGAAUGAGAAGACAACUGUCUCGUCUGUUCAAGGGGUCCGGCUCUUCAUCAAGUCAUCAUGAUGAGUCUAGUACUUGUUCAUCAGCAGAUGUCUCGAUGGAGGACGCCGAAGCUCCGCGAUGACUCCUAAACGACACCGACCUCGACCUUGUCAGUGAUCGGGAGAGACAAGACUACUACAUGCUGAAUGACCGGGAGUAUGCUCACACGCGAGAAUACUCACCGGAGCUGCUAAAAAACAUAGGUAUGGAUGCUGAAUUUCGUACUAUUUGGAAAGCUGUUGGUUGGCAGAGAUUUGCUGUGGUAGAUGAGCCUGGUGCUCGUCUGCUUACUUUACAAUUUCUGUGCACUUUGAAAGAAAUAGAAGAUGUAAUUUCCUUUCGUUAUUUCCGUGAAGAGUUUACACUUACAUGGAAAGGCUUAAGUACACUUCUUGAUUUUCACGAUUCCUGUAAAAUCGAUCUCCAGAAAGGAAUUUCUGGGUUCGAGAAAAUUAGGUUUUGGGAAGAUAUUUAUGGUGCUCCAAUUUGCAAGAAACCUAGAACGAAUGAUAUCCAUAAUCCUACACUUAGGCUCAUGCACAAAUCGAUUGAUAUGGCUUUGUUUCCUAGAGGUGAUCUGAGGCCCAUUAGGGCAGAUGAAUUGAUUAUCAUGUUUGCCAUGGUUAGAAAGAUCCAAAUUACUCCUGUGAAAUGUAUGAUAAGGCAAUGGUUAGAAAGUAUAAAGUUCUCUGUUCCUGUUGAGUGCACUUCUCUGAUUACUCGGAUAGCAAAAGGGCUAGGGGUCGUUAGCGACCAAAUUGCUUUUAUCUCAGCCGCUCAUCCGUGUAUUGAUGAGGCUUAUCUAGUGCAAGGGCACAUUCUGAAAAAUGGAGUAGACGGAUCUUUGAUUUACUUUUUCCCCAGUUGUACAAAUGAAAUCCCGUUGCCAAAUGCGGGGUAUCAUUUGUACAACUGCCAUGAACUAACCAUUCCCCUGUAGACCAUAGAAGAAUCUCGCGCAGGUGGAGCAUACAGGGAGACGCACAACAUGACAAGAAAUGAACGAGAAAGUUCACACCCGUGCAGAUGUAUGAGGCAGGUUGGGAGCCAAUUGGGGAUGCACCCGGAUGGACCCAUGCUCCACGUCACAGUAUUGGAUUCUCAACCUGGGCAAGUGCCAGUGAGGACCGGUGGCGUGCGCCUCAUGACAUCCAAUGGGGGGACAAUCAACCUUCCAGAUCAAGUGGUGUGCUUCCAUCUUCAAGUGAAUGGCGCUCAAGUUCCUCUCGUUGGGACUUGGGUGAAAUCACUAGGAGAAUGGACACACUUGAUAUGCAGAUGGGAGGAGGACAACAAAGGAGGCCGCCAGCCGAAGAUGGGCUGGGUUGGGCCAGUUCAUGGUUUGGCCGGCCAAACCUCCCGUGGCGCCGAUGGAUGCAGGGUUUGGAUGGACGGCUGGAUUUGAUCCCCAAUGACGAUUGGAGGGUAUUACCGACCAUUCCAACCGUCACAACCGUCAUUACCUGCCUAUAAAAGGAGCUCCUCUUCUCACAUCACUCACACACAUCAAGCAAUAGCUCUCUCAUUUCUCUCAAGUUUAGUUUAGUAGUAUCUAGCUGGUGGAAUAGGAAUAUAGUAGAAAUCAGAAGCCCGGAAGCCUUCGGAAGUGUUCGGGUAUGGCUCUAGUAGCUUUUCUCUUCUCUUUUGGUAAGCUUUGUACUUUUACUUGAAUACUCUUCUAAAUACAUUUAGGCCCUCUUUGUUUAGACUUAUAAGCCAACUUAUAAGUCAAAAAGUCUAAGCGAAAACAAACAAGCAGCUUUUUCAUUUGGCUUUUUUGAAGCUAUAAGCCACUCUAACACUAUCAAGCCAAAAGCUAGGUUGGAGAAGCUUUUUUGGCUUAUAUGAGAUAGAUGUAUGACUCCACCACUAAACUUAGGACAUUAAAUCCACUGGCUUAUAAAUCAUAUAAGCCAAUAAGCUGACUUAAAAGUCUGGGCCAAUAAGCCUAAGCCUAAACAAAGAGGGCCUUAUGGUAUUGAAAGACUUUCCGAGUAUAUGAGUACCUACUUUACAUUAUGUUCAUGUUAUACUGAAUAUACGGCUAUCUUAUCUGGGAGAUGCUUUGCUGCGGGUAUAGUGUUUGCUUAUGCAAUUACUCUAUGCCAUAACGAUGAUAUUAGAGUAGUAUCUGGUAGUUUAGACAUGGUGUCUAGAUUACGGGAUAUGAUAUUUGGGGUUAUAUAUUGCGGAUGAGAGGUGGGCCGCUGAUGGUGACAGCUCAGUACGUGUGUUCCUCCGUGCCGGUAUAUAAUCGUAAGUUGAUUCCCUGGGGAGGGUAUUCUUCCGUAUUUUGCCCUGGUUAUACGGUCAUAACGGGCUGUCGUAAGGAACUCGGUAGUCAGGGGUGGCUUCUCGAAGUACCAGGAGGGCAUCGAGAUAGAGGGUAUUAGCUAGUAUAUCAGUUAACUAGAAUGUAUGUAUACUAUGUAUAUCAGAAAUAUAUGAAUAGAUUUUCUUUCUCUUUUCUUUCCACUUAGCUUAGAUGAUAUAUUAUGAGAAUGAGUAGUUAAUGCUUGUGUGUCACUCUACCCUUGGAUUAUCUUAACCCUUGCUUAGAAUAUGAUUAUCACAAGUAAUAUAUAAAUUAUUAGUCAAGUUCUCUCUACAUGAUCUUCCCACGGGAUAAAAUAAAUACGAUACCCUUGGAAUACUCUCGGGUGAAAUGCUACAAUGGUAUAUCCGUGCACUUGCGGAUAAACUCUGUAACCAUAAUAUACCAGGAGUAUUUCUGCGCCAUUGCUGGGAAUUAUAUUUCUAGUAAUGAUGUUAAGAAAUACCAACAGUAUUCUCUACAGUCCAACCAUCGGGGCCAAUCUCAUCUGCGAGUAUUUUGCAUUCGCUUAUUUAAGCGAUAUGGCAGUGACCCUAACGAACAAAUUUUUCGAAAAUCCGAACAGAAAUAUCAUCGAAGGAUUUGGGAUUGUGCAAGAUGUGCAUGUCUGCUUUGAAGACAGGGAGGCGAUCUUGGAUUUCCACGUCUUUGAAAUUCAAGAUUUCGAGAUCCUAAUCGGGCUUCCCAUUGAGCAACUUCUCAUUAACACACCCCGAUUAGACAGUCUCAAAAUAAGACUGGGAGGGAAUGAAUUCUCCGUUCCAUUCUCACGGGCAAGGAUCUCCUUGACUGACCCUCUCCCAGAAAUUGAGUCAGCGGAGGAGGUUAUGGUAGUUCCCCUCACGAGUCUCCCGAGGCCUUUCUGGAAGAUGAAGUCCCCGAUUUCAUCAAGGAAGAGGCGGAACCCGGUGAGACUCUCGAUCUACCAAUCAUGGAACCGCCACCUCGACCUCUGCUUGAGCUUAAACCUCUAUCUCAGGGCCUACGCUAUGCUUUCCAACACAAUGAUAGAGAAGCCUCUGUCAUAAUGUCACGCCCAGAAAUUCCUGAAUAGAAUUCCAAGCAGAAUGUGCAUUAAAAUCCCCGUCCAGGACCGGCCGGGGUACACAAACGACAAAGUUGACAUACAGAUCCACGUCUUACAAACAUUAUAAAAGUCUUACAUAAAUGCAGCAGAAAACUUAAAAGAUAACUGGAGCUAAGCCUUGACUUGGACUGCAGCGGGAACACCACUCCACAGGCAUCCUCGACGGCACGGACGAAGCCUACUCCUCGGAAAAGACACCAUCUGACGCAUACUCAAACUCUGGGGGUUUGGGGAAAAUAGAGCAAGACUGAGUACUACCCACUGUACUCAGCAAGUCAUACCGGAAUAGGGGUAUAAUGCAGGGAAUUAUCAAGGGAUAGCUAUGAUGGUUCAUUUGCAUAAAGCGAGCAUUUAUAAACCGAAGUUGGAAGCAGUAAAACAGUCGUAAUAAUUAAUCAAUAUUAAUCAUCCACUAUCCAACGCUAUACCACGUUGCAACAGGCCCAACCAUCCACCUGAACUAAUCAGUUCCAUCAGACUACACUAGGGUGAGACUAAUCACGGUGAAUCUGGUUGACCGCCCAUAACCGUGGGCACGGCUAUUCGAAUAGUUUUACUCUGAUAAGAGGUGUACAACUGUACCCACAAGACACAGCCCCACGACACGUUUCCGUGCGCCGACAUGCCACCACGACAUACCGGAAAGAGGCCGUGACAGGACCCUUCGCAUAACCCCCUCUAACCAAGCACACCACACCUCAGGUUUCACCCCCUCUCCUCGCAAGGCAGUGGGCAGUCCCCUCUCGUGCCUAGGUGAAUCCGGAAGCCGCAUAGGCCGUCGCAGGGCCCAUCCAAACUCCAUCACGCCCACCCUUGCCUGGAUGCGUCGGCUAGAGGAAAGCUACACUACAAGCCCAGCCGUUGCCCACGCUAGCUUGUGGUAAGUACGAUAAGUUCUUCCAGGGCAUCCCGCGAACCGGUCCUUAAUUGCCAUGGGCGCGACCAUCAAAACCAUGCACCCACAGCCCACCAUUUAAUAUAUUUUAAUUAACCAACACCGGAGCGGUGGGCAUUAACCAACAUCAUUUCUACAAUCUGAUAUCUAUGCAUUAAUGUUGUCCCCCAUUGUGUGCUAGUUGAACUAAGCAAGGCUAAGCAAUCCCUAGUCCAACCUCUAGUCAUGUUAUAUCCCAAGCUAAGAAAGGAACAUCGUACCAAAAUAGCAUGGCUAUAACAGUAGGUAAACAUUCCAUGGUAAUAUUAUAAAACAAUGCAGUAUUUGAACGGAAACAAAAGAGCAUUUGCAAUAUAGGAUCAACAUGUUCAAGUGACAAGCAUGACUUGCCUUGCACUGCUGCUGGAGGAACCUCGGUGACUAUUUCAAAGUACAACGGAGCGUCAGGAGAGCCGGAAUCUAAGCGACAUACAAAGCAAACAAUACAAACAGGCUAUAAGACUACUGAAACAGAGAACAAAACUAUUUUUAAUGGAUUCUACACAUUUUUCUUGAUUUACUGAGACUUGAAUAGGCUUAAAUGGAGCUCGGAUGAAUUAGAUAUGAAUUUUAGAAGAUUCACUGUGUUUUUACUAUAAACAGAAAAAUCCUUAAUUGAAUUAUUGCGCAAUAAAUAAAUCCCGGGAGAGAGAGGGGCGGCGCCGACAUGCGGGCCCCACAUGGCAACGACUCGGGGAGGGCGGUUCACGGUGGACCGAGUCCACGGACCGGGGAAGGGGCGGCGCGCCACGUGGUGCACACGUGGCGCCGACGCGGCGCACAUUCGGCAACCACGCGGGUGGCCAAACCGACGGCCCCAAUCUACCCGAGGGUAGAUCGGACGGCGGCGGGGAGCACGCGGCCGGCGCGCACGGGCGGCUCGAGCCGGCCCGGCGACCAUGGCGCACGGCGGCGCUACCGCGGGACGGCGACGCGGCAGACGGCGGCGUCCGACGACAAGCGGCGGCGGUGCGACGGCGCGGCGACACUGGCUGUGGCUAAGCGGCUAGGCAGCGACGCGACGACUAGACGGCGCGGGAGAUAGGGAGAGAGAAAGAGGAGGAGGUGCCUCACUGACGACAAGCGACGAUGGCGAGCGACGGAGGACGAUGGUGUCACACCCUAAAAAUCCCAAAUAUAUAAAUUGUUGUUUAAUUGGAAUUAUUAGAAUUGAUUUUAAAAGCCUAGAGGAGAAGAUCUAAUUUUAAAUAAUAAAUUCCAAUAUAAAAUUGGGCCAGAUAAAAUUUUAUUAAAUACUUUGCUUGAUUCUAUAGUUCCUAGAUUUUUCUGGGAUUUAUUUGAGCCAAGGAAGUAUUUUUAAUAAAUGGAAUUGCAUUUCAUGAAUAAUUUAAAUUGGAAAAGUUUUAAAAAGUCUUCUUUUGGCUUUGGGCCGAAAGUCGGCCCAAACCUCUCUCUCUCCUCCCCGGCCCAGGUCGGCCCACAGCCGAGCGCCGCCCGCGCGCGCGCGUCCCGCUCACUGACAGGUGGGGCCCACCUGUCAGUCUUCGUCUACCUCCAGCCAUCGCCGCGCCCGAACCCUAACUGAGCCGCGCCGCCGUCUCCUUCCAAAUUCGUUCAUCCUUUUCCCGAUCCGUUGAAAUUGAUAGAGGGGAAAUGAUCCCCGAGAUCCACUCUACCUUUUCUCUUUUGGAAUCGUUGGCUAAAAUCGUUUGGAAAUCCGUGGAUUCGAUCUCGAAUCAGAUUCGUCUCUCUCUCCGAACCCUAACCUUUCCAUCGCCGCCGCCAGUCGCCGUGGGCCUUCGCCGCCGCCCCCCUAGCCUCUAUAAAAGGACCCCCGGUGUCUCCUCUACCCACCGCCACCCUCACUUUCGUAUCUCGUCACCGGUAGAGCCCUAGCAUCGUGUAGCCUAGCGCCGCCGUCGCCGCCAUUCGUCCAGCCGUGCGCCGCCGUUGCUCCGGUCGUCGUCGUCGUUCGGGAAGGCCGUCGUCGUGAUCGUCAUCUCGUCGCCGUCCUCGUCCGCCCCUCCGUCGUCGCCGUAGAUCGCCGGAGCCCCGCCGUCGUUGUCAAGCCGAAGGUCACCGCCGCUUCUUCCUCAACGCCGUCGCCAUCCGUUGACCUACCGCCGCUGCUUUGGUCACCGGUGAGUUCGCCGUGUCGCCCGCAACCCGUAGGUGUCCUCCGUUCGCGUCGUCGUGCCGUCGUUCGCCGGCGAGCAUGCGCCGUCCGAGCCGUCGCCGGUGACGACGUCACCGCUGACGUCAUCGACGCCGUCCGCCGUAGACCGGUCGUAGACCGUUAGAUCUUGUCCGUCCGUUUUGGAUAGAUCGAUCUCGGCCGUUUGUUUCUGUGAACCGCCGCCGUGCACCCGGUCCACCGUGAGCCGAGUCCGCUGACGCAAUAAUCCCCUUUUCCUUUUCAAAAAUAAUUCAUGAGAUAUGGGUUCAGCUGGAUAUUAGAUAUAAUUACUUAGCCAUGCUUAGAAACAUUAGCACAUAGUUGGGAUAACUUAUGCUUCACUAUUAUUUAAUGAUGGCUUAAUGAUAGCUCAUGAUGGUUAAUCAUGAUUGGUUAAUUAAUUAAUUUGCCAACUAAAACCUGAUAAUGGUGGGUUGUGAGCAUAUGGUUUUGAUGGUUGUGCUCAUGACAAUUAAGGACCGGUUCACGAUUUUCGGUUGUGAAACAUUUACCGUGCCAACCACAAGCCAGCGUAGGCAAUGGCUUUACUUUCUGUAUAGUAUGGUUCAUAGUAGAGCACCAGACUGUGAAGUGGCAGAGAUAAGCCCACGGGGGUCGCUGGGUAGUCCAUACCUUGUUUAUAAGGGGGUGAUUAUGAUCCAGGAACAGUGCACUGCUUUGAAUUGUAUUAUAUAGAGGGUAUUGUCACAAUCUAUAUUCGGGUACUUGUUAAGUAUCGCGACGCAUGGUUGACAUGAUGUUGAGGUUGUGUCUUGUGGGUACAGUGCUACACCUCUGGCCAUAGUUUAAACUAUUCGAAUAGCCGUGCCCGCGGUUAUGGUCGCGUCUAACAAUGUCUUUCGUGAUUAGUUUCACAUUCAUGCUUGUCAGGAGGUGGCAAGGAUCGCCAUGGGGGAGCUCCGCGAAAGCUACAAUGAUCGGUUGGCCGACACCGAGUAUCGCUACCAUCCUCGUCAACCCCAAGGAAGUGACCGUGGCAGCUACCUUGAACCUGCAGGGAUUGAGAAUGAUGCUACCACAAGGCAUUUGGUUGAGAUGCUGUGGGCCAUGGAUGAGACCCGCGGUGAGAUUGUGAUAGCAGCUCAGGAUCGCGAAAACCGGAAUCGCGGCAAGAUUUGCAAGCUGGAGGACAAGGUGGAUCGUUUAGAGAAGGAGCUAGCCGCGUUGAAGGGAGAAGCACCACCGCAAAAGGCCAGGGUUCAUCUUACCGCAAGGAAGAGAGCUCUAUUCGUUCCUCGCUACCAGUUGGCGCCAAAGGUUCGUGUGGUGGAAAAAGAAACUAUCCCAGCCCCAGCGGAUCCUCCGGUCGUCAACGUAAGUGAUGAUGAUGAAGAAGAAUCCAAGCGCACCCAUUCCAAGGUCGAGUGGGGAGCAACUCAAGAUGAUGGAGACGCACCGAACGAGCCUUCAAUCAACUCCGAUGCCCGGAAAACCUAGAAUGCCUUGUCAAGUCGUUAUCUUAGAUCGUUGUGUUAGUUUGCUUGUUUAAGUUUGGUUGUGUGUGUGGGUCUUGCAUGUGGUUUACAUCAGUGGUGGGAUGUAAAUGCAUGCCUUUGUUUGCUUCCGAGUGUUAGGAAGUUGGUGAGUUUAGUGGUGUGAGAGUCUUCAGUUUUGUAAUAAUGAAACUCAGUUAAGAUCAAUAAAAGUUAAGUUAGUAAAAAUUAAUUCCCUGUCCUAAGUAGUUUUUCCCGUUUCUCUUUUUGUGUUCCUAUCUAUGCCAGAUGUUGCUUACUCGCAGCAACGGGAAUGGCCCCAACCCCAACAACAACAACAACAAUGCAGAGAAUCCCACGCUUGCUCAAGUCCUGGCUCAACAGGCACAGCUUAUGAAUUUGAUGAUGCAGCAACUCCAGAACCAGCAGAACCAGGAAAACAACCAUGCACCUCCCCCAAAUAAGCUGGCAGAAUUUCUUCGCGUGAGGCCGCCUACUUUCUCUAGCACCACCAAUCCUGUUGAAGCUGGUGAUUGGCUGCACGCCAUAGAGAAGAAGUUAGACCUGCUUCAGUGCACAGAUCAAGAGAAGGUUUCUUUUGCUUCACACCAGCUGCAUGGCCCUGCCUCUGAGUGGUGGGAUCACUUCCGUCUCAACAGAACUACUGCUGAACCUAUCUCUUGGCUUGAGUUCACCGCUGCUUUCCGGAAGACGCACAUACCAUCGGGAGUGGUGUCUCUCAAGAAGAAGGAGUUCAGGUCGCUCACUCAGGGAUCCCACACUGUCACCGAGUAUCUGCAUGAAUUUAAUCGCCUGGCUCGUUAUGCUCUGGAAGAUGUGCGCACUGAUGAAGAGCGCCAAGAGAAGUUCUUAGAGCACCCGCAAUGGUAAAGUAAGGUGCUCUCUAUAAAACAUGUACAUCUCAGCAAUAGACUAGAUUAAUAGUAAACCACCUCAAUAGUAUGUCUACAACAGUAUCUAUAGCUCUCUCAUGCAUUGCCUCGGUUUUCUCUAUAGACUAUCUCUAAGUUAGUAGAUAGCUUUGCUCUCUCUCUUCAUUUAAUAUCUUCCAAAUAGGAAAAUAUGCUGACAUGGAUCUCUUGUAGAGAGCCUAUAGAUAACCAUUGUGGGUGCCCUAAAGGGCUAUAUGAUGAGCUUUCUUACCCACUCAUGACUGGGGAUUAUCAUGAUUUCCAGAAGUUAGUGGAUAAGGCUAUUCGCCAGGAGGACAAGUACAACCGCAUGGAGCAGAAGAAACGCCGAAUUGCUCACUUCAAGGCUCAGCAGGGGAAUAGUCAGAGGCCGCGUCUUGCUAUGGGACCUCAGUCAGUGUCACAGGGAGGUUCUUCGUCGGUUGUUCGUCCGCAACGUCAGUUCUUCAACAACAGUGCUGGCAACAACAACCGCAACCAAGCUCCGCGCUCUGUUGCAGCUCCGACACAGCAUCAGCCUGCCAAGAGGGAGCAAGGCAGUAAGCCCGAGGUGUGCUUCAACUGUGGAGACCCAAGACAUUACGCUGAUAAGUGUCCGAAGCCCCGCCGCACGAUGGUUGUCCCUGCCCAGAACAACUCCUCCGCACCAGCGACAAAGGCACGUGUCAACCAUGUUGCUGCUGCAGAAGCUCAACGUGCUCCAGAUGUGAUUUUGGGUACGUUCCCUGUUAACUCAGUUCCUGCAACAGUGCUUUUCGAUUCUGGUGCUACGCAUUCCUUUCUAUCUAUGAGUUUUGCUGGAAACCAUGGGAUGGAAGUAGAAGAUCUUAGACGUCCUUUGAUGGUUAGUUGUCACGACCGGAAAUAACCCAACGGGCUUUCCUGACGUGCGUGCAUUAAUCCUUGUCCCAGGAGGCAAGGUACACCAAAAGUUGAUACAAUUCAGAGUUUAACAAGCGGAAGCGUAAAUAGUUAACUUAUUACAUGGGCAGCGAAGGCCCAGCACACACAAAGACAAACGAGAAACAGCGGAAGACUAGGGCGACGACCACAGGCGCUUGACGGCAGGCACGAGCUAGACACCAAAGCCUUCAUCUUCAAGGAGCUCCUCUUCUGGGCUUGGGAAAAAUUUGAGCAAGACUGAGUACAACCACCGUACUCAACAAGACACACCCACAAGUGCAGAAUAAAUGCAAGGGAGUACAAGGGAAUUAUAAUAUGAAGGGUUAGGGUUGCAGUAAACAGCAUUUAAAGACAUUUAGUUGCUCAAAGCCAUUUUGUAAGCACGAUUCUAAAACUAUACAAUAUUAUUAAUCAAGGCCGUGAACCCACACGAACCUGCCUUAACCCAAGGCCUACGAUGAUUCAGACCGAACUGGCAACCCAACCCUGGGUCCCAGCUCGUCCUAAGCCAACCCAGGCCAUCCAUUCCACCUUUUAGUUGUUAAGCAGGUUUUAAGAAUUAAAGCACUAACUUGGGUACAUUGCUCGGCUUGCCCAUAACCGAGGGCGCGGCUAUUCGAAUAGAUUCUACUCUGAUCAGAGGUGUACAUCUUUACCCACAAGACACAUCUUCCUCACGUGCAACCACGUGCCACAUACCACCACGGUAUACAGACGGAAGACGUGACAUAGUUUCCAACCCAUCCUAGCCAUAGACAAGAGUACCGACCCAAUCCCGCCUACGGCCGGAACCCCCGGGACAGGCAG